rnacentral:rRNA from 1 species
CCCUCCUCGGCAAGCUCGCGGAGCUGGCUGGCGGCGAGUACAACAAGCUCAAGGGGGUGAAGAAGCAGGCGUCCUUCCUCGAGAAGGAGCUCAGCGCGAUGAACUUCGCACUUGAGAAGAUGGAGCUCAUGGAUGAGCUCGAUCCGGUGGCUAGGGACUGGAGAGACCAUGUCCGGGAGAUGUCCUAUGACAUGGAUAAUUGCAUCGACGACUUCGUGCGUCAGUUUGGAGGUGGUCAUGCCAAGGUAGGCUUCAUCAAGAAGACCGCCCGACGUCUGAAGAUGUUGGGAGAACGCCAUCGGAUUUCUGACCGGAUGGAAGAGCUCAAGGCUCUUGCGCUAGAGGCAAAUGAACGACGCCUCAGGUACAAGAUUGAUGAAUGCAAUCCUAACUCUAGCUCUGUGACUAUUGAUCCUCGGAUGUCAACGAUAUAUGUGGAGGAAGCUGGCCUUGUGGGCAUUGAAGGCCCAAGUGAGGAGCUUCUCAAUUUGUUGACAGAUACUGAGGAGAAGCUCAAAGUGGUGUCCAUUUUGGGAUUCGGAGGAUUGGGUAAAACUACACUAGCCAAACAGGUGUACGAUGAGAUCAGAGGGAAGUUUGAAUGUACAGCAUUUGUUUCCGUAUCCCAAAGACCUAACAUGACAGGGCUUCUCUAUCGUAUACAACUAAAACUUGGAAUGAAUCGGUCUUCUCGGGUAUAUGAGGUGCAAGACAUCAUUGAAGACCUUAGGCAAUAUCUCACACACAAAAGGUACCUUAUUGUAGUUGACGACUUGUGGGACCAGUCAGCAUGGAACACUAUCAGUCGCGCCUUUCCAGAAAAUGCUAAUGGGUGUAGAGUAAUAGUAACCACACGAGUGGAAGGCGUGGCUUAUGGAGCAUGUUAUGGUCACCCUGAGUGCAUUUAUGGAAUGAAGCCCCUUGGCGAGAAAGACUCAAAAAAGUUGUUUCUCCAUAGAGUAUAUGGGUGUGAAGAGGACCAUCCAUCCCAAUUGGAAGACAUUUCAACUGAAAUUCUUAAGAAGUGUGGUGGGCUCCCACUUGCAAUUAUUACUAUUGCUAGCCUAUUAGCUAGUCAUCCUGAAGAGUUAAGGGAUGAGUGGAAGAGCAUCAGGAAUUCGCUUGGAACCCAGUUUGCGGCAAAUCCCACGCUGGAAGGGAUGAAGAAUAUAUUAAACCUUAGCUACAUCCAUCUUCCCCUUCAUCUCCGGGCAUGUUUCCUUCACCUUGGUAUAUAUCCAGAAGACCGCGAGAUCGAGAGGGAUGAUUUGGUUCGACAAUGGUCGGCCAAAGGACUUGUCAAUAAAUUGCAUGGGCAAGAUUCUGAGGUUGUUGCCAAGAGCUAUUUUAAUGACCUUAUCAAUAGAAGCUUGAUUCAGCCUGGGCGUACUGAGGAUGGCGAGUUGGUAUCAUGCAGAGUACCUGAUAUGAUGCUCGACUUGAUCUUAAGUAAGUGUGAAGAGCAUAAUUUUCUGAGAGUUGAAUGCAAUUCUGAAGACAUAGCACGAGACCAUGGCCGAAAAUAUAAGGUCCGUCGUAUAUCGAUGAAUUUCAGUAAUGAUGGUGCAACAGAUGGGAUAAUAUCAGGGAGCAAUCAUUCUAGCCUGUCACAAGUUCGAUCACUUGCUCUUUUCGGGGAAUCGAAGUACAUGCCCCCUCUUUUGCAUUUCAAGCAUCUUAGGGUGUUUUUCUUUAAAAGUUUUUGUGACAAAGCUAUUGAUCUCACUGUUGUUAGCCAAUUGUUCCAACUAAGGUAUUUAAAUGUUUCAUUUGAAGGAAACAUAAAACUCCCUACUAAAAUACAGGGCCUUGUGCAUUUGGAGACACUAGAAUUACAUUGCAAUGAGUUAGAAACCCCAUCGGAUAUAGCUCUCUCUAAAAGUUGGGGUGCCAAACCAAUUGAUCUCACUGCUAUUAGCCAAUUGUUCCAACUGAGGCAUUUAAAGAUUUCAUUUAGAGGAUUCUCACUUGAAAGGAAAAUUGAACUCCCUACUCAAUUGCAAGGGCUUGUGCAUCUGCGGACACUGGAAUUAGAUUGCUCCGGAGAGUUAGAAAUCCCAUCAGAUAUAGUUCACUUGCUCCGCUUAUCCCACUUGACAGUUCCAUUUGGGACCCAGCUGCCUAAAGGUAUUAAGAACAUGACAUCAUUGCACACUUUGGGUCGGUUCGACCUGGAUGAGAGCUCAUUGGAGGAUAUCGAGGGACUCGGUGAGCUGACCAAUCUAAGACGUCUGGGGCUCUCAGUGUCUUUUCCAGACCAUUUAAGGACUACAGCAUGGGUUGCUUUGGCUCAUUCUAUUGGGAUGUUGCAUGAUCUCAGACAUCUCUGUGUCAGUGGCGAUUCCUCUCAUACGAGCGACAUGUUGGGCUCAUUAUCAGAUCAUUCUCCUCAUAUCAAGGUACUUGAGCUGGGUCGUCUUAGGAUGCCUAGAGUUCCCAAAUGGAUUUGUGGUCUCCAAUGCCUCUGCCGGCUAGAGCUGAAUGUUGACACGUGCACUGACGAGUUGCACGCUCUUGGAGAGCUGCCCUCUCUCGUGCACCUCCGUUUACAUAUGUGGAGCUUCUCUGCGGGAUCAUUUCCAGUUCUAGAGUUAUGUGAAUGUAAAUCAGAGUAUGAUGUUACUGCGUACCUGGCCUUUGGGGCAGGGGCUAUGCCCAAACUAAGUUGGCUUGAACUACAAUUCGACAAGAGUAACUGGGGCGGCUCUGCACCAGUUGGCUUGGAGCACCUGUUGAGCCUCAAUUCUGUCUAUGUAAUCAUCCGCGGCCCCGAAGAAGCGAAGGAGGAAGCAGAGUCUGCCUUCAGGAACUGUACGCAGCUGCAUCCAAACCGUCCUUGGUUUCACAUCUGCAGUAUACCACGAUAA